rnacentral:rRNA from 1 species
ACAGAGGUGGCAAGCGUUGUUCGGAAUUACUGGGCGUAAAGGGCGCGUAGGCGGUUCGUUAAGUCCUGUGUGAAAUCCCCCGGCUCAACUGGGGAACUGCACAGGAAACUAGCGGGCUUGAGUUCGGGAGAGGGAAGCGGAAUUCCGGGUGUAGCGGUGAAAUGCGUAGAUAUCCGGAGGAACACCGGUGGCGAAGGCGGCUUCCUGGACCGACACUGACGCUGAGGCGCGAAAGCUAGGGGAGCAAACGGGA